GGGGUUGUGGCUCAGUGGUAGAGCGCUUGCCUAGCAUGUAUGAGGCACUGGGUUCGGUCCUCAGCACCA
rnacentral:tRNA from 1 species